UUAGACAACCAAUUACAAGUUUUGAAUACCAACAAGGAGUAUCAGACUUUAUUGCUUUUGCCAAGAACAAUAUGAACCGUGAAAGCAAAAUUCGUUGCCCAUGUAAUAAUUGCAAUAAUUUGAGAUGGAAAACAAUUGAAGGUGUUAUCGGAGAUCUGUACAUUCAUAAAUUCAGUUUACACUAUAAGAGAUGGUUUUGGCAUGGAGAAGAUGUGCCAGAAAAUAUGAAUUAUUGGGAUUUUGAUGAUGACAAUGAUGAUUUAGGUGAAGAAGAGGAAAACAAUGAAGGAGAGGAAUAUGAUGAAGUGGGAGAAAUGUAUGAAGGAACAAAUGCAGAAGGACAAACAGAGGAUUAUGAUCCUAAUGUUGGAAUGGAAGAGUGUUGCUUUGAUAGGUUGCUCAGGGAAGCCCAACGUGAACUUUAUCCAGGUUGUCAAGAUGUUUCAUUGUUAUCUUUCCUGGUAAAAAUCCUUCAUUUGAAGGUAUUGAAUAAGUGGAGUAACAAGUCCUUUGAAAUGACACUCCAAUUAUUCAAGGAAGUUCUACCAAAGCAUUCGACAAUUCCUGACUCACCCUAUGAAGUGAAGAAAAUUUUAAGAGAUUUGGGGUUGGGUUAUGUAUCUAUUGAUGCAUGCAAGAAUGAUUGCGUCUUGUUUUGGAAGGAGUUGAGUGAAAGAAAUACUUGUCCUAUAUGUGAGGAACCUCGAUGGAAGAUAUAUGACAAUAAAGGCAAGCGGGUUCCUCACAAAAUUUUAGGGUAUUUUCCACUAACUCCUAGGUUGAAGAGGUUAUUUAUGUCAAAGCAAAUUGCUUCAGCUAUGCGAUGGCACAAAGAGAAGCGGAAAGAAGAGAGUAACAUAUUAAGGCAUCCUGCAGAUGGAGAGGCAUGGAAGCAUUUAGAUUUGCUAUAUCCUGAUUUUGCACAAGAUUCUCGUAAUGUAAGGCUUGAUAGUGAUAUGAAGAAUAUAGUGAUGAUGGAGAUGAAGAAGAAGAAGAAUAUGUUGAGCUAGAUAGUGACAUUGAUUAGUUUGUGCAAGAUGAAGUUUUUCACAAUUUUGAUUAUUGUAAUUUUUCAACAGUUUUUUGGUUGUGAUUGAUUGACGACACUUUUUUUAUGAAAAUGUUUCAUUGGUAUAUAGAUGUUUGUUUGGUUAAGAUUAUAUUAUAUGAACUUUCUGUCAAAAAGUUAUCUAUUUGUUUGUAAUAUUUAAUGUUUAUUAUAUACAUGUUUAUUUUAUUUGAGAUUGUAGCAUUAUGCCUCCUAAACUGUUGAGAGGACAAAAGACUACCACCAUGUUAUGCCCAUCCACUUUGAAGGUUAGAGUUUGGUCAGCACAUUCAAAUGUGAUUGCCCCCACACCCACAGAAAAGACUACCACCAUUUUACGCUCAUCCACUUUGAAGGUUAGAGCUUCGUCAUCACGUUCAAAUGUGGUUGCCCCCACACCCAUAGAAAAAACUACCACCAUAUUACACCCAUCCACUUCAAAGGUUAGAGCUUCAUUAUCAUGUUCAAAUGUGGUUGCCCCCACAUCCAUAGAACCUGAAUCGACACCACAUUUAGAGUCUGUUGAUGGUAUCAAUGCUGUGCCACCGCCACCACUGUCAUCGACCUUGGAUACAUCUUCUCCAUUGACUAAUUCACAACCAUCUACUAUAGGUUCAAAUGCUAAUAGAAAAGGUCGCGGUUUAACAAGAGGAGUUGGAUUAUUAAAAGUCAAACGGCUUUCUGGUGUUCAACAUUUGACAAUCACUUUUAAUCCUGAUACUCGACGCGCAGAUGAUAAUGAAGGAUAUCAUCCUUUUGUUAGUCUAAUGGGAAGCUUCGUGAGGAGUUUAGUACCAACAAAAAAGACUUGGAGUUUAAUGGAUGAUGUGGAUAAGAUGCCUCUUAUCAGUGAGUUGAGAGCUGAUCCAACCACGGGGCAAUUACUUGAUGAUAUUCCUCUUUUUAAAGCAACUCAUUACAAUGAAAAAAGUCGAAAGUGAAAAUCUUCAGAGGCCUAGGCAGAUUAUGAGAUGAUGUUGGAGAAACAAGCUACAGCCUCUACAUCACAACAAGAAGAAAGUUCAACACUUACUCAAAAAGAAAUUUGUGCUUGAUCAAUAAGGUUGAGAUCAGGUUACUUUACUGCUAAACCAUCUAAAAAGACUCGGACAACACCAACGAAUCAUUCAGAAACAGAACAACUUAAACAACAAGUGGAGAACUUGUUACGGUAUAAUGAGUAAAGAGAAAUUGAGUUUGAAGCAUAGAAAGAGGAGAUCCAUCAGUUGAAGAGUAUGUUGGCCAUUGUUUUAGAAAAGGUUGGAGAAAAACCUUUAGAUGAACCAUCAAAUGCAGAAGAUGGCAACAACUCUUAGAUGUGUGAGACUUUAAGGAUGCAAAGAAGUUGAAAGUUUAUUUUGACUUCAUAUACUUUUUGCUUGUUUGUCUUUAUUUGAUGAAUUAUGCUUGGAACAUGUAAUUAUUUGAUGAGUUUUGUCAUUUGUGGGAUAUGUUUUGAUGGACUAAAAUUUUGGAUGAUGUAAUUCGUUGAAAUUUAUGGUAGUUGUGAUUGGUAUUUUAAAUAGGUUGGAAUUUAUUAACAGGAAUGUU